AUAAGCCUCAAAAUACUUAUAAAUUAACAUUCACUGACACACAAACUAAAAUUUCUUUAUUCUCAUUUUGUAGAUUCUGAUUCUAUUUGGAUACAAGUAAAUAUCUUAGGAAUGCAGACACAACAGCCAGAACAGAUCCUCACAUCAAGUUGUCUGCGAGGAUGAACUCCACAAUAACAGUGGGGCAUCCAGAAAUCCCAACAAUUUCAUGUUGGGAUCAAAGAAAGUAUUUCAACUGCUUGGUAUCAGGGUACGAGAGAGGGUGAAAAAACAGUAUGGAGCCUUACAAGAUAACAGAAACUACAGAUGGAUAAAAAAACCUUCAAAAUAUCCGAUCUAUUCAACAUAUCACUUGUGCAAUGCGGUGGUCCACAACCUGUCCUAAACAACCUCUUCCAUCGUGAAUAAAAAAUAGACGCUAAAUGCGGCAGGGUCCAACUUCCUGUUAAAUGCCACACUAACUGUAUCACUUUCCUGUGAUAGCAUCUCAAGAUUAAGCACUUUUUCCAAAUGAGUGCCUGUCGGCUACUAUAAACAGUAGCAUUUCACUCAGAAACACUUAAUAAGGAACAGGUGCCAACAUGGUCUACCUCACAGUACCUGCAAGUCAACAGCAAUACUGAGGAUGAGUUUUGUCUAAACCUAACACUUACCAAA